ensembl:lncRNA
GAUGGAUUGUCCUUCAAGAACACAGCUCUGCUUUGUGGUUGUUGGUUGGGGUGAUUGGUAUUUUAAAUCAGCCUUGCACGAGGGAAGUUCAGUGGAUACUACAGUGCACAGCCCAAUUCCACACAGUUUAAUUUGCAAAUCCGGAUGCGAGUGCCUACUUAUCAUGCACAGAUGUAGACAGGAGAGGUCAAUGGGGCCAUCGAGGCAUGGUCUGCUUACAUAACUCAAAUGAGUUUACAGCACUCGAGCAUUUUUCUUUGUCUCAUUUUAAUCUCCGUGCCUCUCAGAAUAGGACAACGUCACAAAAAAAUCAAAUAACCCCAACAAAACCAGCAAGCAGGAGGUGUGGACUGAAGAAAAGCCUCAGAAAAGCUGUGAAGGAGGUCUGGAAGGAGAUGGGGGUUGCUGAGAAGUGGCCCAGGUGGCAGGAGGUUUGCCUUCCGUGGCAAAAAGUUGCGACAGUGCCUUUAUGGGGCAAAGGGAAUGGAUGGGGAUGUUUGAGAGAGUAGCGUGGGUCAGGGGGAUGUCGGUGAGUAGAUCAGAUGGGGCUGUUAUCCUCUUCCAGCUGGAGGGAGGAGAGCACAGUCCUUGCUGGGAGGAUGUGAGUACACACAGUGCUGCUGUCCAGGAAAACCUGCCUUGCAGUGGCCGUGGGGAGGACAAAGCAGGGAAGGCAGGAGGACAACGGGCUCAGCUAAGCAGUGCUGGAACAGCAGUGCACAGGUAAGGUGGUGCAGAGAUGGAGAUGCAGACCCGAUGGCCCAUGAGAUGAGAAAGGAUUCAGUGGAGAGUUACAGUGCUGUUCCAGACAAUGCGGGCAAACAGGGAAAUUAUUUGCACUAUCUAUGAAGACUAGAAAUAAAUUAACCUAAUAUGAAGGCUUUUCUCACUCUGAGACCAUUGGAAAAACAAAGGCUGUGCUGGAGCAUCAGAAAGAAUGCAUUAAAUGUGGGAAAUACAAUGGGCAUUACAUCAGGUUCCAGAUAUGGCAGAUGAUGAAUCAGAGCAGCACGCCCUCUCUGCAUCUGGCAGCUUGUUCCAUCCACUGAACGCCUGCCCUGAAUCGGCCUUUCUAAGCCAAGGGAAGAAAAUCCCCAUGAAGAACUGCAGAACGUGACCCACGUACCAGGAAAGGACAGCCCUGAAGUCCUCCUACGCUUUUCUGUGCUCAACUGCACAGCUAUAGGGUUGCAUGGAAGCACGAUACAAUAGCAUGCUUGUAUGCAAGUCAGUGCUGGAAUGGUAGGGAGACUCUCAGAAAUCCCAAAUAAAAUGGGACAACUUGAAAAUGCUUUGUUUUUCCUAAAAUGAGUACAGGUAGCAGUUGAAUAAAGCAGCUUUAUUUGGUCUCGUGUAUUUCCUUGUGCUGUUUGUUAUCCCAGCAUUCCAGCACGGUA